rnacentral:rRNA from 1 species
UACGUAGGGAGCAAGCGUUGUCCGGAAUCAUUGGGCGUAAAGCGCGCGUAGGCGGCCUCGUAAGUCCGUUGUGAAAGUCAAAGGCUCAACCUUUGAAAGCCGAUGGAUACUGUGAGGCUAGAGUCCGGAAGAGGCGAGUGGAAUUCCUGGUGUAGCGGUGGAAUGCGCAGAUAUCAGGAGGAACACCAAUGGCGAAGGCAGCUCGCUGGGACGGUACUGACGCUAAGGCGCGAAAGCGUGGGGAGCGAACAGG